rnacentral:lncRNA from 1 species
CAGGAUUUAAAACCGGUGAUAAGCUCCAACAUGCUGGAAAAUUGGAUCCAUCCUCCACAUCCAUUGCAGUAAAGCCGAGAGAAAGAAUUGGUGCAGUUGAGUUUUUUUAAGUAGCAGCAAGGCACCAAAGCCGAGAACGGAAAGUUGAACCCAAAAGCAAGGAGACUUCAAAAUGUUCAAAAGCUGUCCAGCUCAAGGAAAUUUAGACAAAACCGUGGAAGCAACACUUCAGUUUGUUUUGAUUAUUUUGUUUUAAAUUGUAAUAGGUUUGCUUUGCUAGUUUCUUCUUUGUAAAAGGCCAUUCAAAGUCCAAGUUGUCUUGGAAGAGUCCUUGGUGCUCUUUCAACUCUUGGCAAAACUUUUCUUGUGUGUUUNNN